rnacentral:misc_RNA from 1 species
GAUGAAGAACGCAGCGAAAUGCGAUAAGUAAUGUGAAUUGCAGAAUUCAGUGAAUCAUCGAAUCUUUGAACGCACAUUGCGCCCUCUGGUAUUCCGGGGGGCAUGCCUGUUCGAGCGUCAUUAUAACCACUCAAGCUCUCGCUUGGUAUUGGAGUUCGCGAUCUCGCGGCUCCUAAAAUCAGUGGCGGUGCCUGUCGGCUCUACGCGUAGUAAUACUCCUCGCGAUUGAGUCCGGUAGGUUUACUUGCCAGCAACCCCCAAUUUUUACAGGUUGACCUCGGAUCAGGUAGGGAUACCCGUUGAACUUAAGCAUAUCAAUAAGCGGAGGA